UUAGAGUUUGAUCCUGGCUCAGGACGAACGCUGGCGGCGUGCUUAACACAUGCAAGUCGAGCGGUAAGGCCUCUUCGGAGGUACACGAGCGGCGAACGGGUGAGUAACACGUGAGCAAUCUGCCCUCCACAUUGGGAUACCCCCCGGAAACGGGAGCUAAUACCGGAUACGACCACUUCAGGCAUCUGAUGGUGGUGGAAAGUUCCGGCGGUGGAGGAUGAGCUCGCGGCCUAUCAGCUUGUUGGUGGGGUAAUGGCCUACCAAGGCGACGACGGGUAGCCGGCCUGAGAGGGCGACCGGCCACACUGGGACUGAGACACGGCCCAGACUCCUACGGGAGGCAGCAGUGGGGAAUAUUGCGCAAUGGGCGAAAGCCUGACGCAGCGACGCCGCGUGGGGGAUGACGGCCUUCGGGUUGUAAACCUCUUUCAGCAGGGACGAAGUUGACG
rnacentral:rRNA from 1 species